CAACCCUCAAGCCCUGCUUGGUGUUGGGGCCCUACGCACCGCCGUAGGCCCUUAAAGGUAGUGGCGGGCUCGCUAAAAUCCUGAGCGCAGUAGCACAUCUCGCUUGUGGUAUUUAGUGGGUGCCGGCCGUUAAACCCCCAACUUUUAUUA
rnacentral:misc_RNA from 1 species